CAAAAAUCGGUUUCCUCAUCUGAUCUGAG
rnacentral:rRNA from 1 species